rnacentral:lncRNA from 10 species
UUUGUAAUGCUGAUGAAAGUAAUAGGUGAGACAGUAAAAACAGAAAGAGUGCACUGCAAGCAGGAAAAGCCACAGCCUCUUUCCCCACUACCCCUCUCCUUCCUUGCCUCAACAAGCUGCUUCCAGUUUUCACCCUCUGUUUGCUUCUCUAGGAGGGUCCAACUAUGUGGAAGCUGUCACCUUUGAUGGAAUUUAUCUGAUACCAUAUAACAUAGGGGAAGGAGAGUCAAAGAAUUUGUGGCUAUUUUAAGUCACACAUCAUUUCUUUUUCCAUGCCCCACCCCUGGAACCUUCUCAAGGUGUUUGACUUCAACCAGAGUUGAAGAUCCCCCAUCUGCAAUACUGCUGCACCCCCACCUCAAGCCCCAGCUGAUUGAACCCCAGGUGGAUUCCUGAUUCAGGCAAUCCACAGGCUGGGCUGAAGCAAUCAUGAUGUCUCUCUAAGGAAUAUUAAUUAAAAGCCACAGAGACCCCAGUCAGUUUUAAGGAGGUGUGCCGCCAGAAACCAGGGUCAGCACCAUACCAAACCAAAGUUAUGGAGGAGUAAAAACCAAAAGUCUUGCAGAAGCAGCAGAUUUGGAGACAAAAAAAGCAGAACCCACAUGCAGAAAGAAAAGAGAGGCACCACGUGACCCUUGAGACAAAGUGACAGACAUUCCAGUGCUGCCAGACAGAUUUCCAGUAUCUGUGAGGUCCUGCUGUGCACCAGAGAAGAGAGUUCUGGGAAAACCCCUGCUAUGGGUUGAACUGUAUUCCCCAAACAUUCAUAUGUUGGAGCCUUAACCUCCAGGACCUUAGAAUGGGACCUUACUUGGAAAUAGAGUCAUUGCAGAUGUAAUUAGUUAAGCUGAGUUCCUACUGGAGUAGGGUGGGCCCCUAAUCCAAUAUAUUGUUGUCCUUAUAAAAAGGGGAAGUCUGGAGAAUAGUUAUCCUUCCAAGAUAAACUAUUUGCCAAAUAUGUAACAGAGUAACCAGCCAUUUCCAUAUGGGAUUUCUAGUCAUUUCCCAGUUAAAAAUUAAGGAAUAGGUACACGCAGUAAGAGCACUCAGUGAAGAUGAGGGCAGAGAUCAAGAUGCCACAUCUACAAACCAAGGAACACCAAAGAUUGCCAGAAACUAUCAGAAGCUAGGGGAAAGGCAUGGAACAGUUACUUCUUCACAGCCGUCAGAAGGAACCAACCCUGUUGACACCCGGACCUCAGACGUGAAGCCUCCAGAACCGUGAGAUACAAAAUUCCUGUUGUUUAAGCCACUCAGUUUGUGGUACUUUGUUAUGGCAGCUCUGGAAAAUGAAUAUGACCCCUAUAACUGCAUUUCCAUGUGAGCUCAUUUAAGUGGGUGUCUGUUCCUUGAAGAAGAAAAAUGAUAUGAAUCAAAACAUCCCACCUAAACUGCCUUUGCUCUGAGCAGAGGGAACACCCUCUGGCAGAGCCAGGGUUCUUCUCAGAAAAUUAUUCCCAGUCUCCUCCAGGACUAAGAUAAAUGAAUGAGCAAAGUUUAAAAGUUCUCUUCUAAAGAACAUGGUCAAAAUAGUUUUAGCCUGUAAAAUUUGAAGGCAGAUAAAACCAGAAUUCAGCCUUGGCAGAAUAAACUCUCAAUAAAGUAACCUCAGAUCCUUAGCUCCGAACACCACUUUUUUUUUUCCUGUAUUCCUUCCAAGAUAAACUAUUAGCCAGAUAUGUAACAGAGUAACCAGUCAUUUUUAUAUGGGAUUGUUAUUCAUUGCCCAGUUGAAAAUUAAAGAAUCAGUACAAAAAAAAAAAAAACAAAACACUUUUGUUCUAGGAAAGAGAAUCAGAUAUCCUUUUUUAGCAAUAAUUAACUAGCAAGGUCGUGCUGUCACCACGGUUUUUAAAAUACCCUUUUGUCUUUCAUGGCAAGUGUAUGCAUCUAGACCAUCUGAAAGUGGCUCUAGAACAUGAAAAUAUAAAUGUAAAACAAGAAAGGGGCAGGAAAAGAAUGAGGAGCAGGCAAAACAUAACCACGUGUUGGCUAUUUCUAACUCCCUGGUCCAGGAGUACUCAUUAAUCACUCUAAUCCCACAGAAGUAUAAUGAUUCUGAAUAUCUACAUAUGCCACAAAUUAUCUAAUACUGUUCCUGAUUUACUAGGUGUGGAGUGGCCAUAUAUAAAACCUGACUGUUACUCACAUAAAAUAUUGGCCUGAAACUCUCAGACUUCGAAGCAAGUAGCAGAUUUGGAUGGAAUACACCACAAAUUAAUAAAGCCAUAAUCUAGAGAAGGUAAUAAAUUGACUUUUUAAAUAUGAGAUACUCUAAACUCUGGCUUCAGUGGGGAAGAGUUUUUUUUUUUUACUUCAAGUUAUGCUGAUUUAAUUACAAAAUAAGCUUUUCCAAGGCACUGGCCUUUGUAAUGAAGGUAAAUAUUACAUGUUUGCUAAAAAACAGGGUUUUAUAAAACUCCUCACCUCAUAUAAACAAUUGUAAGUCUUUUGUUUUUUCCAGAAAAAAAAAAACUUUCACUAAGUAUUAGUCACUCAUAUAUCUAUAAAUCUCAGAGGAAUUUCCCCAAGCACUCUGGCUUCCCAAGUAGGAGAUUGUUUCUCCUAGUUCAAGUCUCAUUUCACUGUUAGGCUGGCUGUUAUUUCAUGGUGACUUGCCAUGUUAAUAGUAUGUCUUCUAAUCCACGAAUGUGAUAUAGCUCUCCAACUUAUUUGAGUCCUCUUCAGUUUUACUCAACAGUGUUUUGUAGUUUUCUGUGUAUAGGUUUUGGAAAUCCAUAAUUAAAUUUAUCCUUGGGUAUUCUAUGGUUCUUUGUUAUUAUGAAUUGUAUUUUUUAUCUCAUUUCCCAAUUGUUUUGCUGGUAUACAGAAAUAUAAUUUAUUUACCUAUAUGGACCUGGAAAAUUACAGCUUUGUUAAUUAAAUUCAACUAGUUAUAUUAGUUGUUUUGCAGAUUCCUUAGGAUUUCUACAUUUUAAAAAUAAAGUCAUCUAAGAAUAAAUAAUUUUUAUUCUUUCCAACUUUGAAUGCUUAAUUUCCUUUUUGUAUUGUAUUGCCCUGGUUAAGCCUUUCAGUACAAUGUGGAAUAGAAGUAGUUAGCACCGAGAUCCUUUCCUUGUUCUUCAUCUUAGAUGAACAGCAUUCAGUCUUUUGCAAUUCAAUAGGAUGUUAGCGCGUAGGAUUUCUACGAGUAGCCCACUGAUCUUUUUAGAAUAAUGAGAUCCGG